rnacentral:rRNA from 1 species
UACGUAGGGUGCAAGCGUUAAUCGGAAUUACUGGGCGUAAAGCGUGCGCAGGCGGUUAUGCAAGACAGAUGUGAAAUCCCCGGGCUCAACCUGGGAACUGCAUUUGUGACUGCAUGGCUGGAGUGCGGCAGAGGGGGAUGGAAUUCCGCGUGUAGCAGUGAAAUGCGUAGAUAUGCGGAGGUACACCGAUGGCGAAGGCAAUCCCCUGGGCCUGCACUGACGCUCAUGCACGAAAGCGUGGGGAGCAAACAGG